AGAACUAUAAACUGACUACACAGCUCCCUGGCCCGGGAAGGCUAUGAAACAGGCAACAUGGACAAUUUAAAGGUGUACAAUAUCCGAGGUUCCAUUUCACCCUCAGGCAGCACGGAGUGGACAAGAGAUGGGGUCUCACUUUGUCACCCAGGCUGGGCUCAAACUCUUGGCUUCAAGCGAUCUUCUCGCCUUGGUCUCCCAAAGUGCUGGGAUUACAGGCUUGAACUGCUGUACCUGACUGACUUUUCCUAUUUCUAAUAUCAGCAUGAAGAACACAAGAAGUCAGCUUCAAAGGCAUCCAGCAAUAUCAUCUAUUCUCCACUUUGCUAAAUCUUACCUUUGGCAGAGCCUUCAUGAACAAGAUUGGUACCCAUAUAAAAGAAGCCCCAGAGAGCUAUCUUGACCCUUCUACCAUGUGAAGACACAACAACAAGGUACCGUCUAUGAACCAGGAAAUGGGCCCUCACCAGACACCUAAUCUGCUGGUGCCUUGAUCUUGGACUUCUCAGCUUCUAGAACUGUGGGAAUUAAAUUUCUAUUGUUUAUAAGCUACCCAGUUUACACUAUUGUGUUAUAGCAGCCCAAAAGCACACCCUGUUUCAAGAUUCUGCAUUCAUUUACUCAUUCAUACAUUCAACCAUAUUUUGUUGGGCACCAAUGAUGCCAGGCACUACUCUAGGUGCUCAGGAUACAAUAAUUAACAAGGCGGACAAUGCCCCUGGCUUCAUGGAGAUAAACUGUGUUGAUGAACAGGAAGUAGACAGAGUGGUCAGAGAAGGCUGGAGGAGAGCACAGUUGACCAGAGAUCUGAUGGAAGUGAGAAAGCAAACUAUGGGAAUGUCUGGAAAAAGAGCAUUCCAGGCAGAGGAAUGAGCAAGUGGCAAAGAUCCUCAAAUGCCUACACUUCCAUGGGAGAAGGCCAGUGAGUGAGGAAAAGAGAGGUAGCAAAGGGAAUCAGAGAGGAUGCAGGGAUCCAGAUCUCAAAGGGACUUGUAGGUAAUGGCCAACACUUUGGACUUCAUGUUUUCAGAGUGAUGGAAAGUCCUUACAGCCUUUCCCAGCCCCUAGCUAAGCCUCUAUUGAUUACUUCUCCUUCUUGUGCUCUUAUCACCUGUACUUUUAUUUACCAGUUAGUCUAUAUUCCAUGGAUUUCUAUUCAUCUCUUGUGUAUCAGUUCUAUGUCCUCAACUAUGUCUCAACGGCAAGAAUCAGUCAUAUUCUCCUCUGUAUUCCCAAGGCCUGGCACCUAAGAGAUGCUAAAUAAAUCUUUCUGGAAGGUGAUAAUGAUGAUGUAAUCUCUUAGAAUCUUUUCUAGCUGUUAAGAUCCAUGAUGCCUUUGAACUCUCUCAACAAACUAGUUUGCACAAUGACUCAGAGGACUGACAUCUUUCUAGAUAUUUUGAGAUUAUAUUCAUGCCACUUUUAGAGUCUCCAUCCAUCAAAUGACUAGAAUGAAUUACAUCAGAGUUUUGUUUAAAUGAAGGCUGUGCCACUUGGAAUGGGAUUCCCUUACAUGGAACUACCUACUAAUAUUUGGACUUUAAGCCACCUGAACCUCAGGAGAGUAAUAAAUUGCUAUUAAAUAAAUGCU
rnacentral:antisense_RNA from 1 species